AAAAGAAACUAACAAGGAUUCCCCUAGUAGCGGCGAGUGAAGCGGGAAGAGCUCAAAUUUGUAAUCUGGCGUCUUUCAGGCGUCCGAGUUGUAAUCUAUAGAAGUGUUUUCCGUGCUGGACCAUGUCCAAGUCCCUUGGAACAGGGUAUCAAAGAGGGUGACAAUCCCGUACUUGACAUGACCACCAGUGCUCUGUGAUACACUCUCUACGAGUCGAGUUGUUUGGGAAUGCAGCUCAAAAUGGGUGGUAAAUUCCAUCUAAAGCUAAAUAUUGGCGAGAGACCGAUAGCGAACAAGUACCGUGAGGGAAAGAUGAAAAGCACUUUGGAAAGAGAGUUAAACAGUACGUGAAAUUGUUGAAAGGGAAACGAUUGAAGUCAGUCGUGUUCUUUGGACUCAGCCGGUUCUGCCGGUCUAUUUCCUUUGAACGGGUCAACAUCAGUUUUGUCCGGUGGAUAAAGGCAGGAAGAAAGUGGCUCUUUCGGGAGUGUUAUAGCUUUCUGUCACAUACACUGGAGGAGACUGAGGACUGCAGCUCGCCUUUUGGCCGGGGUUCGCCCACGU
rnacentral:rRNA from 1 species